AUAACUUUACUGUUGAUCUAUUCCUUAUUCCAUUAGACUAGCCAAAACGAGCUGUGCCAAGACUCGUCUAUUCUUCCUCUAUAAUACAUGUAAUAGUGUAGAUUUUAUUAUUCAAAAUAAUAGUUUCAAAGGGAGGAAACUGCGCACUAAGAUUAAUCAUGAGUUAUCAUCCAAAUAAAGCUGCGCAGCGCCCCUCGUUUUCCGUUUUCCGUUUUCCGUGUAUCGUUUUAUCAAAUCAAGAACGAUAAAUGAGAGCAGGCGCUUUGUUUCAAUUUUCAAAUAUUAAAUUUUUUGUAAUUUAAAUUGAAACGAAAUAGGAAUAGACAUACACGAUGCUGCAUCGUUCAAACAUUAUUUUAGCUUUGCAUGCUCUAAAAAGGUUGAAAAUUGUCCUGCUAGCAAACUAUAUUUUAUGCAAACAAUGGAUUUUGAAGAGCAAAGACUACCGGCCUUUUACGGACUUCGUUAUUUACAUUGGAAUUGGCGAGUAUCUCCGGAAAAAAAGUUCCGUUAUAGACGCAUAUACUAGACGUAGAAGCUCCAAAGACUCCGACAUUCACCGACAACCAUUGGAUCACCAGCGAAAUUUAAACAAACCGUUAUAUAGGACAGAAUAGGCAGAAAAACAACGCUUUGAGACAACUUCAAACCGUUGAUCAAUUGUCACGUAUAGUCUAAAACAUUCGAUAAACAUGAGUGUACUAAAUGCGCAGGAACAUUAAAAUCUCCAACAUAUUACCGACGACGGUAUUUAAGAAAAAAAGGCUUACCUCCAAAACGACUGUUUCAUGCGAACUAUCCCGUGAAGACGAUCGACGAUAUGAAGUGUUUCGGCUCAAAUAACUCAUUUUGAAGAACCAAUUAAUUCCGUGAGUAUUCACAAUAAAACGAAUGAACA